AAUAGCUCCUCUGUGAGAAAGCUGUUUGGGCAGAUGGAAUGGAAUUCCAAUGAUUCUUCUGGGCACAGACAUUCUCUGAAGACAGCAACUCAAAGGGCUCAGGAUGGUAAAGGUCCAUGGCAGACUGGGAUAUGAUUGCUAGGUCAUGAGCCACUUUUCCUCUGCCAUUCCCACCCUGAUGUGACAUCCUGCUUUGGAGCCAGCUGAUGAUAGACUAACAUGAGCCAAAAGGAACUUCUCCUCCUCUAAGUCAUGGCGACUGGGCAUUGUGCCUCAAUGAAGAGAGAGUACAAAUGGCAAAUAAAUACAUGAAGACAUUCUCAACAUCUCUGGUCAUUUGAGAAAUGCAAAUUAAAACAACACUGAGAUUCCAUCUCACUCCGAAAACAAUGGCUGCCAUGAUUAACUGAUACUAAAUGUUUGUGGGGCUGUGGGGGCAAAGGACUACUUCUCCACUGCUGGUGGGAAUGUAGACUGGUGCAACCACUGUGGAAAUCAGUGUGGAGAUUAAAAAAUAAACCUACGUAUUGUGGCAUUUAAACUGAAAAGUCACAGAUGAGGAUCACAGUCAUGUGUAGAUUAAGGCUUUCUUUCUACAUGGAUUCUCUUCAGAGUCUAUUGGAAAGAACACGUGACUAGGAAUUAGAAGUGUUACCUUUUAAUAUCAAGUCAGCAAGUCAGGAGUUGUAAGUAUGUCAUAUUUCUCUGAGACUUUGUUUCUCAUCCUACAAACUGAGGUUUCACUAAGUGACACUCAGACAUGACUACUAAGCCUUAAUAUUUAACUCAAUUUACAUCAGAAUCUUACCUUUAAAGUAUUGUGAUAGACCAAUAGCUUUGUGAUUGCUUGAGACUAAGUCUCAUAUCAGAUCCUAACCCAGUCCUUGCAUGAAUAUUAAAGUUAGCAAAACACUAUCCUGCCGAAUGUAUAGAUGGGAUUGCAUAGCAGGAAUGUAUUUUUCUUUAAAUGAUGCUUAUUUUUCUUUAAAACAAAAGGAUUGCACAUAAGCACAAACAGUUCUUCUCUGCAAAAGUUAUGCGUUAGAAGGUCUACACUGCCCACUGAACAUAUCAUUAUCAUUUUUUGUGUUUCUUCCUUCUGUUACAGAUAGGGAGGUACAGCAAUCUCUUACCAUUAUUUUUCUAUGUAAGAUGAAAAAAUUUUAACGAAGAAUUUCCUCUGGAUAGGAUAAAAGCUGUACAUGAAAAUUACUAUCUUAUAUGGCUUUAGCACAGCUAGGGUCUUUAAAUUUUAAGUGAAGAAAGGACUAAAUUAUAUCGACAAAUCAUUCUAAAAUGAGUAACAUGUUUGAUAUAGUUUUUCUUGUUGUCUUGCUUGACACUAGCUAUAAUUAAUUUGUUAAACUAGAUGUGCUUAUUCAGAAUUUUUUAAUAAACAAAAAGUUUAGAAUUCUUUGUUUUCCACUAGGAUGGAAAGGUUUGCUAGUUAGUGAAUAUUGGUUAUUUUUACCAGCUUAUGUUAAUUCUCUUCUUGUGUGACAUUUUUCUGAUUCAUCAAUUUCUUAAAAUAUAACAUUUAAAAAUAAAAAAUUCAGUCAAAUAGUUAUUGAUUUCACUGUUAAAAUUGGCUGCAACAAAUGACUUAUUUAUUUAAUUGAUUGAGUGAAAUGACCGACUGAUUGUUUGGAUGUUACACUACCCAGCUUUUGUUCAUUGAUUUCUCUUGUACAUUUCCCACAACCUACAGGGAGGAUGUGUGCUUUGUGCUACCUCUAUUUCUGUAUUAAAAUUCUUCACUUUUG